AUGCGGCGUCUAUACAUGCAAGUCGAGCGGACCGACGGGAGCUUGCUCCCUUAGGUCAGCGGCGGACGGGUGAGUAACACGUGGGUAACCUGCCUGUAAGACUGGGAUAACUCCGGGAAACCGGGGCUAAUACCGGAUGCUUGAUUGAACCGCAUGGUUCAAUCAUAAAAGGUGGCUUUUAGCUACCACUUACAGAUGGACCCGCGGCGCAUUAGCUAGUUGGUGAGGUAACGGCUCACCAAGGCGACGAUGCGUAGCCGACCUGAGAGGGUGAUCGGCCACACUGGGACUGAAACACGGCCCAGACUCCUACGGGAGGCAGCAGUAGGGAAUCUUCCGCAAUGGACGAAAGUCUGACGGAACAACGCCGCGUGAGUGAUGAAGGUUUUCGGAUCGUAAAACUCUGUUGUUAGGGAAGAACAAGUACCGUUCGAAUAGGGCGGUACCUUGACGGUACCUAACCAGAAAGCCACGGCUAACUACGUGCCAGCAGCCGCGGUAAUACGUAGGUGGCAAGCGUUGUCCGGAAUUAUUGGGCGUAAAGCGCGCGCAGGCGGUUUCUUAAGUCUGAUGUGAAAGCCCCCGGCUCAACCGGGGAGGGUCAUUGGAAACUGGGGAACUUGAGUGCAGAAGAGGAGAGUGGAAUUCCACGUGUAGCGGUGAAAUGCGUAGAGAUGUGGAGGAACACCAGUGGCGAAGGCGACUCUCUGGUCUGUAACUGACGCUGAGGCGCGAAAGCGUGGGGAGCGAACAGGAUUAGAUACCCUGGUAGUCCACGCCGUAAACGAUGAGUGCUAAGUGUUAGAGGGUUUCCGCCCUUUAGUGCUGCAGCAAACGCAUUAAGCACUCCGCCUGGGGAGUACGGUCGCAAGACUGAAACUCAAAGGAAUUGACGGGGGCCCGCACAAGCGGUGGAGCAUGUGGUUUAAUUCGAAGCAACGCGAGAACCUUACCAGGUCUUGACAUCCUUCUGACAACCCUAGAGAUAGGGCUUCCCCUUUCGGGGCAGAGUUGACAGUGAUGCAUGCUUGUCGUCAGCUCGUGUCGUGAGAUUGUUGGUUAGGUCCCGCACGAGCGCAACCCUUUGAUCUUUAGCUGGCAGCAAUCAGUAGGUCACUCUGUACUGCGUGACCGAUCGGAGAAGCUUG
rnacentral:rRNA from 1 species